UUUUCCUCAGGAUAGUUGAAAUAAGUAAUGAAGCUCUUAUAUUCGGUAAAGAAAGUGAUUGGAGGAAUAGUGGGAUGAAACGUCUCUAACUUAUUCGCAAACUUUCAAUAAGUAUAACGUCUCGUUUGCUUGGAUGAAGCGUAGACAUGAAUGUGUGCUUAGUGGGUCCUUUUUGUUAAGAAUUGGCGUUGUGGGAUGAACCA
rnacentral:ncRNA from 1 species